CUGAGCGGCAGCGGAGCUGCGCUUGAGUGUGAUUGGCUCCGGCAGACAGGCAGAAGACGACCUGUUCACUGUGGCCAGAGUGUCUCCGAAAGGGCGUCUGUCCCUGACGGGCUGAAGGACAGAGGGCAGGGCUGAGACGAGAGGCACGGGAGGAAGAAGAAAGAGCGGAGGGGACAGCGGGGCGGCCCACAGCCGGCACGUGUGGGACCGAGUGCUCCUCAGCUCUGACGGAGCUCCGCUUGUGCAUCGGCAAACAGACAGAUAGGCGUGAACCAAGCUGGUUACGUAAACCCACCACUGCUCCGCUGGGUCUGCAGCGCUCUGCUCACAGAAGGCACAGGGUGGCUUUGCCACCAGGUUACGCAACAGGUUAAGAAGUGCUGACCUGGUCCCGGAAGGCGAUCCACCUGCAUUCGGAAGUCGUCCUUGAGGAAGAGGAAGCCAAUGAUGGAGAAGAAGUAAACGAGGAAGAUGGCCAGAACUGCGGUAAGAAUGAUGGAGCGGCCGUUUCUCGUCACGCUCUUUAUCACGUUGAGCAGCGUCUCCUCUCGGAUGACCAGGUCAAACAAC